rnacentral:tRNA from 1 species
GCAGUCGUGGCCGAGUGGCUAAGGCGAUGGACUAGAAAUCGUGCACAGCUUCGAAUCCUGCCGACUGCG